rnacentral:rRNA from 1 species
UACGUAGGGUGCGAGCGUUGUCCGGAAUUAUUGGGCGUAAAGAGCUCGUAGGCGGUGUGUCACGUCGGCCGUGAAAACCUGCAGCUUAACUGUGGGCGUGCGGUCGAUACUGGCGAUCUUGAGUCCGGGAGAGGUGAGUGGAACUCCGAGUGUAGAGGUGAAAUUCGUAGAUAUUCGGAAGAACACCAGUGGCGAAGGCGGCUCACUGGCCCGGUACUGACGCUGAGGUGCGAAAGCGUGGGGAGCAAACAGG